rnacentral:lncRNA from 1 species
GUGCCGGAAGCAACGGGGUCGUGGUCUCGGAACCACACUGCUCGGCCCGCGGAGCCCGUCGCAGCGAGUCUGCCCAGCUCCAGAAAGGGGUGUCCCUGCUCCCGCCCGAGGCGUCGGGCGUCCGGCUGGCGAGCGGUCCCUGGUCGGCCGCGGCUUCGGAGAGCGCUCCCCGCGACGGCAGUCAGCCAAACGCGUCCCUCCUGCCGCGCGCGAGCGGCGCUCGUCGUGAGCGUGCCCUGGGGAAAGGCCGAGGGCCGCGGCCGCGAAGCCGGGAGGGUGCUGCCGAGGGCGUGCUGCCGAGGGCUCGCCCAGGCAUUUGCGUUUGCAGAGGUGGAAGUUAGACGGUAAUCUACGAAGUGGUGAUUCGGAAGGCAGACUCCAGCUAGAAUUAAAAGUAGCCAAGCCUCCUGUUUAAAUGCACUUCUAUACUUGUUAGGAACUAAGCCGGAAAGGUAGGUAACCGAAAUCGAAUCGGUGUCACUCUGAUUUUCUCUCAAACGUAGGACUGAAUCCAGGGGCGCUGUACCACCGAGCUACACUCCCCCCCCCUUUUUAUAUAUUGAUACAGGGCUUCGCUACUUUGCCCCGCUGGCCUCGAAUUUCGAGAUCCUCCCUGCCUCAGCCUCCCAAGUCGCUGGCACUUGAGGCCUGUUGCACCACGCCCUACUGCUGCUUUUUUUUUUUUAACUGGGUUCUAAACAGUUGGUAAGCAGGGUGUUUACAGGGUUCAUAUGGAAUUAUAAAACCAAACUGGAUCGACCUUAAAGAUGAUCUUUUAUGCAAGCCGAACUACUCCUGUUCCAAUCCUAGCCCUGCGGUUGACAAACCCUGGGCAGUUUAUCUUUCAGACCGUCACUUUCUCAUGGGUAAAAUGGGAACAGAAAGAGGCUGAGGUUGUGGCUCAGUGGGCAGAGCGCUUGCCUAGCAUGUGUGAGGCACUGGGUUCAAUCCUCAGCACCGCAUGUAAAUGAAUACAAUAAAGGUCCAUUGACAACUAAAAAAUAUUUUUUAAAAAUGGGAACAGCAAGUAGCACCUGUUGGCCAGUGUCAUGAAGAUUAGGCCUUGAGGAUGCUAACCCCCAGGAAAGUGCCUGGGAGGCUUCCCUAUGAAAGCACCCAGUCGGGGAGUAAAGGGCUUCAGACUCUUCGGAGGCAGCCAGGUCUUUAUUUCAGUUACAGCCAGGAACUUCAUGGGGUCAGAAGUGGACACCUGAUAAAAACAGCCAGCCCUCAGGCUGAGGAGCAUUCAUGAAGAGAUGAUCCAAGAGUUCCCAUAUUGGCCUCAUUGUAAGGCUUGCCUGGUAAAAAUUGUGGAAUUCAGGGUCCUGGGCCCCAGCUUCACUUACGGGAUCAGCCUAGAUGAAAGAGAACUAGAAGCUGCAAUUUUUAUUUUGUUCCCUGACAACACAUUCAUUCUUUGGAUAAACUUGAAAAAAAAAAAAAAAAAAAACACUGAUGUAAUCCAAUCAAUAUUCUUUCUAGGGUAUUUAAAUAUGAAAUGUGAAUAAACUGGGAAUUCGCCUCAGAAACUGAAUCUGAAAAUAUGCAAACUGAAAUUUUCCACAGAAAGAAGUAAAAACUGUGAAGAAAUAAAAUGCAAACUAAAAGGAAAGAAUUAAGCUGUUUAAUGCAUUAAUUAAAACAAUGAUGUGGACCAUAUCGAGCUUCUUCAAAGAGAAACAGAAUAGGCAUAAUCUCUACCAGCAUGUGAUUGAUUGGCAUGGGAAGUGCAUGUUUGGCAAAUAAAAUGAGUACAGCUGUGGUCUAAAUGUUUUGUAACUCCAAAAUCCAUAUGUUGAAGCAUAAUUGCAGGGUAAUGAAUUCAGGGCCUUUUGAGAGGUGAUCAGGUCAUGAGGGCAGAGCUCUCUCCAAUGACAUUAGUGCCAUUAAAAAUGAGUCCUGAGCCAGGCACAUGGCCCAAGCCUAUAAUCCCAAGAGGUUGAGACAGGAGGAUCAUGAGUUCAAAGCCAGCCUCAACAUUUUAGCAAAGCACUAAGUGACUCUGUGAGACCCUGUCUCUAAAAAUACAAAAGAGAGCUGGGGAUAUGGCCCAGUGGUUGAGUGCCUCUGAGUUUAAUCCCUGUUAACCACCACCCCAAAAAAAGAGUUCUGGGCCUGGGGUUUUUGGCCAGCGGUAGAGUGCUUGCCUACCAUAUGUGAGGCACUAGGUUCAAUCCUCGGCACCAUGUUAAAAAAUAAAUGAAAGGGCUGGGGUUAUGGCUCAGCCGUAGAGGGCUCACCUCUGCGAGGCCCUGGGUUGCAAGACCCUGGGCUCGAUCCUCAGCAGCACAUAAAAAUAAAUAAAGGUAUUGUGUCCAACUACAACUAAAAAGUGAAUAUUUUUAAAAAAUAAACUAAAGGUAUUGUGUCCAUCUACAACUAAAAAAAAUUUUAAAAAUAAAAGUAUUUUGUUCAUCUACUAACUAAAAAAAUAUAUAUUUUUCUCUUUUAAAAAUGAGUUCUGGAUUGGGCUGUGGCUCAGUGGUAGAGUGCUUGCCUAGCAUGUGUUAGGCACUGGGUUCAAUUCUCAGCACCACAUAUAAAAAAAAAUAAAUAAAGGUACGUUGACAACUAAAAAUAUAUAUAUUUUAAAAAAUGAGUUCUAUUAGUUAUAGUGUCCCACCUCUGUAAUUCCAGUGGCUCAGGAGGCUGAGGCUAAAGGAUUGUGAGUUGAAAGCCAGUCUCAGCAAUUUAGCAAGGCCUUAAACAACUUACACCCAGUUUCAAAAUUGAAAUAUAUGUGUGUGUGUGUGUGUGUGUAUACAUACAUACAUAUAUAUGAAAAGGGCUGGGAUGUGGCUCAAUAGUUUCCCAGAAAAAUAAAAGAGUCCUGAGCCAGGCAUGGUGGCCCAUGCCUAUAAUUCCAGUGGCUCUGGAGGAUAAGGCAGGAGGAUCAUAAGUCCAAAGUCAGCCUCAGCAACUUAGUGAGACCCUAACUCAAAAUUUGAAAAAAAGAAAUGGAGAUGUGACUCUGAUUAAGCAACCCUGUGUUCAAUUCCAGGUACCAAAAAAAAAAGGGCCUGGCCCAGUGGUACACACCUGUAAUCUCAGUGACUUGGGAGACUGAGGCAGGAGGACCAUGAAUUCAAAGCCAGCCUCAGCAAUUAGCGAAGCCCUAAGUAACUCAGACCCUGUCUUUACAAAAAAGAGCUGGGAAUGUGGCUCAGUGGUUAAGUGCCCCUUCAUGCAAUCCUUGGUACCAAAGGGGGAAAAAUAAGACUGAGAUCAAAGAAUAAAACACUGUAAAAUAUCUCAAGUAAAUUUUAAAAAUUUAUUACAUGUUGAAAUAAUAUACUUCAAAUGCAUUACAUUGAAUAAAACAUACUGUUUGGUUCCUUUUCCUUUUAGUCAUGGCUACUAAGAAAUUUUUUCCCCCAUUUGGGUGCAGGGAUUGAACCCAAGGGCACUUAAUCACUGGGCCACAUCCCCAGCCCAUUUUAUUUUUUGAGACAGGGUUUCACUAAGUUGCUUAGAACCUUCCCACAUUGCUGAGGCUGGCUUUGAACUUGCAAUCCUCCUGUCUCAGCCUCCCAAGCUCCUGGGAUUACAGGUGUGUGCCACUGUGCCUGGCUACUGUGAAAGCUUCAGUUUACACAUGGUUCCCAUUCUGUUCUGCUGGUCAGCCCAGGCAGAGGUCCUUUGGUGGGGAGAAGCACACUUUCUUUCAACAAAGUGCCUACUGUGUGCCUAACUCCAUCCUACAAACUAUUAAUAUAAGUGUAAAAGGACCAGGUACAGUGCCAUAGAGCUGGGAUCACAGGACUCAGGAAAUUGAGGCUGGAGGAUAGCAAGUUCCAGGCCAGUCUGGGACUUAACAAGGCCCUAAGCAACUUAGCAAGACCCUGUCUCAAAAAAUAAAAGGGCUGGGGAUGUGGUUCAGUGGUAAAGUGCCCCUGGGUUCAAUCUCAAAUACCAAAAAGCCAAGCAUGGUUGUAUAUACCUGUAAUCCCAGCAACUCAGGAGGCUGAAGCAGGAGGAUCGAAAAUUAAAGACUAGCUUCAGCAAUUUAACAAGACCCUGUCUCAAAGUUGAAAAGGGUUGGGUGGCUGGGGAUGUAGCUCAGUUUUAGGGUACUUGGCUAGCAUGCACAAGACUCUAGAUUCAAUCCCCAGCAUCAAAAAAAAGAGCGGGGGGUGCAAAAAGGACCCUGAUACAUGACCCAUCCCUGUAAUCCCAGCAACUCGAAAGGCUAAGUUCAGAGGAUCACAAGUUUGAGGCCAGCCUGGGCAAUUUAGUGAGACCCUCUCUCAAAAAUAAAAGGGCUGGAAAUGUAGUUCAGUGGUAGAGUGCCUCUGGGUUCAAUCCUCAGAAACAGGAAAAAAAGAAAAUGGGCUGCAUUAUAAACUCUAGUAAAGCACCCCUGGAUUCAAUCCCCAAACCAAAAAAAUAAAAAAUAAGAUUUCUGCCUGUAAAUCCAAAAUGUCCUACAGCUACCUGUAUGGGUAACACAUGAAUACAGGACACUGGGGAACAGCAACGAAAAAUGCUGGCAGCCAGCCAAGCCAGGCAGACCCAGCACAGCCUGAGGAGCAUGGGAAUGAUUUCUGGCCUGAAUCAGAGGGUGCCAAUGAAGGGUUUCACUCUGGCAUGCAUAGGGUCAUAUUUCCACUUUAAAACAUCACCCCUGGGCUGGGGUUGUGGCUCAGUGGUAGAACGCUUGCCUAGCACAGGUGAGGCGCUGGGUUCCAUCCUCAGCACCACAUAAAAAUAAAUAAAUAAAAUAAAGGUAAAAGAAAAAAGAUGAGGUCAUUGCCUUUAAAAAUAAAUAAAUAAAUGGAACAUCACCCCUGUUGGUCAUAGUGGUACAUGCCUGUAAUCCCAGUUAGUCCAGAGGUUGAGGCCAGACUGGGCAAUUUAGCAACACCCUGUCAUCACAAUGUGUCUGCUGUCAGUUGAGCCCAGGGCUGCUUAACCGCUGAAUCACAUCCCCCAGCCCUAUUCAGUAUUUUUUUUUUCUGUAUUUUAUUUAGAGACAGGGUCUCACUGAGUUACUUAGUGCCUCUCUAUUGCUGAGGCUGGCUUUGAACUCACGAUCCCCCUGCCUCAGCCUCCCGAGUCCCUGGAAAUUAUAGGUGUGCACCACCACACCAAACUCACAACAAUUUUUAGAAAUUAAAACAGCUGGCAACGUAGCUCAGUGGUAGAGCACCCCAGGUUCAAUUCAGUACUACAAAUGAUAAUAAGUAAAAUUAAAUAGAACAUGGCCUGUGAAACCCUGUGAGGGUGAGAGGCUUCAAGGAGGCCCCAGAGAAGCUGCUCCAGGAUUUUGCAGGUGAAGAGACUAGGGAGAGAGAGACUGGAAGGUGGCAAAGAUGUAGAGAAGGUUCAGGUGGUGGACAACAGCCGAGCAGGGAGGCAGAGGAAUUUGAACAUCCUUCAGCUUGCCAGGAACCGGCAUGGCCACAUAUUCCAGCUUUUCCUUAGAAACUGGAAAUGAUAUUGUCACAGCAUACUUCAUUAAGGGAAAUUAAUAUUUUAUUUUAAACACUGUAGAUCAGACAGAACACAUCAGGCCCAUACACUCCAUCUGAGUGCCUGCAGGGUGGUCCUCCAGUAAGUACAAUCUGUACCAUCUGGACACUCUUUAUUUUAUUUAUUUAUUUAUUUUCUGGGCAUUGAACCCAGGGGCAUUCUACCACUGAGCCACAUCCCCAGCCACAGUCCUUUCUAUUUUGAGAUAGCAUCUCACUAAGUUGCCCAGACUGGCAUAGAACUAGCGGAUCCUCCUGCCUCAGCCUCCUGAGUCACUGGGAUUAUACAUGUGCUCCACCACACCCACAUGGACUAUUGUUUUCUCAAAUGUGUUUCCCAGGCCCUGCUCCAGAGAUUUGAUCUCCAUAUUGGAGGGGGGAUCCAGAGACCUGCAAGUCAUCAUUCAUCUCCAGAGCCUCCCAGCCUCCUCAGAAAGACCUGCUCCUGACAGUUGCUAUCUUAGCACACCUCUGGUACUGUUUUGCAGGUGUUUAUUUAAGCUGCUCGUCCCAUGUUGAGCCUUGGAUUCAUUCUGCUUUUUGCCAGGCACUGGCCUUAGGGCUGUGGAGUUAGCCAUGAACAUAACUAAGUCCCUACCAGAGGCACUUACAUUCCAGUGUGUCUCUGGUUCCUGAAACCAAAAAAGCUAAUUGUUCAUUAAACGUGAGCCACAUGUAGCUGCAAAGAACAGAUGUGGUGGACACUAGAGUUAAGAUGUCCAGGGCAGGUGAUACUUAGCUUCAAGUGAGGACAGACCAUGUGUUCUAGGGAAGAGAACGUGCAGAUCUCAUUUUGCCCCUAAGCAGAGGCACUCAGAGGCUCCAUCACAGUCCCGUCAGGCCCCACUGUGGCCCCAAACAUACUGCCUCAGAACAUGAGAGGUCAUUGCAUGGGCAGCCUCCUCUGCCCUUCCUGGCAGUGACCAGAGGUCACUGAUGAAAGCCCAGCCACACCAGGCUUGCUUUAACUUCCUCUUCCACAUAAGUGGCCAGAGCAGGCCAUAUUCUGGCACCUUUCCUCCCGUCUCCUCCCCUGUGGCCUUGUGGUAGGAGCUGAUAAUUGGGUUUGGGCCAGACAGGCCUGGCCUCCACCCUGUGGUCAGCCCUAGCUCACCAGCAUUCUUGGCAUUGGAGUCAGGAACCCAAGCUCAUUUCACAAUCAGUGAUGACUGGCUUUGUUCCCCAGUUCCCACAGCACAGUGGCACAUCACCCUCCCAGGCACAAGGGCAGAGAAGCUGUGAGGUGAAGCAAGAUGGAGUCCUGGGCCCUGACCCCAGUACCACCAAACAACCAGGGUAGAAAAGCAGUGGCCCUGCCCAUCACCCCAGCCACUCAGAGGCUGAGGUCAGAGGGGCACAGGUUCCAGGCCAGCCUGGGCAAUUUACUGAGGCCCUGUCCCAAAAUAAAAAUAGCUGUGUGUACCUCCGUUGUAAAGCUCCCCUGGGUUCAUUCUCCAGUACCUGGAAGGGGGGAAAAAAAGACUCUGCUUCAGUUCUUGGGACUAUAUACCCAGAAGUGGGCUUGCUGACCUUGUGGUGAUUCUACCUUAACGUGGAGGACUUCCCUGCUGCUUUCCAGAGCAACUGCACGGUUCUCAUUUUCAACCAGUGAUGCAGGAGCUCCAGGUUCUCCACAUUCUCACCACUGCUGAUAAUCUCUGGGAGGUUUUUUGGGUUUUUUUGUUGGGGGGAGGUGCCAAGGAUUGACCUCAGGGUCACACUACCGCUAAGCCACAGGUCAGCCCCUAUUUUGUAUUUUAUUUAGAGACAGGGUCUCACUGAGGUUGCUUAGCGCCUCAGUUUUGCUGAGGCUGGCUUUGAACUUGCCAUCCUCCUGCCGCAUCCUCCCAAGCCUUUGGGAUUACAGAUGUGUACUGCUGAACCCUGCAAUCUCUGGGUUCUUAAAGCUUUUUUUUUUUUUUUUUUUUGGUGGGGGGGUGUGCAUUAUAAUUUUUUUAAAAAAAGAAUAGCUAUCCUAAUGAGGUGAAGUUUAUACACUUGAACCCAGGGCAGUUCUACCUCUGAGCUACAUGCCCGUUUUUAUUUUGAGACAGGUCUUUCUAAGUUGCUGAGGCUGUCCUACAGCUUGAGAGACUGCUGCCCAGUGAGGUGGUACUGAUCAUGCUUCUGAAGCGCCUCCCCUGACGUCAGUGAGGGCGAGCCUCUUUCUGGUUGCUUCCUGACUGUGUGCAUCUUCUCCAUAAAAGUGCAUAUAUUUCCUCCCAUUCCAAGUUGCCUUUCUACUCUUUUAAUAGUCUUUUGAUGCACAAAAACUUAAUUUUCAUGAAGUCUAAUGUUCUGCUUUGAUGGUUGCCUGUAUCUUUGGUAUCAUGACCAAACAGUCAUUGCCAGAUCCAGUGUCCAGAGUUCUGCAACACUCAGUCUCACAGUUAGCUCUUCUAAUUCAUUUUGAGUUACCUUCUGAACAUGGUGUAGGGUCCACUUUCCCCAAGGCCUUUGCUGAAGACACAGUCCUUUCCCUAGCAUGUGGUCUGGCACCCUGGAGGGCCCCUUGACCAAAACACAAGGGUUUAUUUUCAGCCUCUGUACAGUUUCUUUGGUCUGUAUCUCUCUCUUUAUGCCAGUCCCAUGCUCUGUUAUGGCCAUGGUUUAAUAAGACCUAAAAUCAGAAAGUGUGAGUCCUCCAUCUUUGUUCUUUUUCAAGAAUGUUUUGGCUAUUUGGGAUUCCUUGAAAUUCAUAAAUUUUAGGAUGGAAUUUAUUUCCCUCCCUGUCUUUCUGUCUCCCUCCCUCCAUCCCUCCAUCCUGCCAUCUCUUCUUCUUUUCAAUUCUGGGAAUCAAACCCAGAGCUUUGCACAUGCUAGACAAAUUCUGUACCACUGAGCUGUAUCACCAGUCCCAAGAUGGGUUCUUCUAUGUAAAAUACAUCAUCAGGAUUUUGAGAGGGGUUGCAUUGAAUCUGUAGAUCACUUUGGGUAAUACUGAUAUCUUAACCAAUAGUAUCUUAAGAAAUGGAAUUUUUUUGUGAUUUCCUUUUAAGAUGGCUUGUGUUUGUAAUUGAAAUGCACUGAUUUUUGAGUGUUGACUUUAUAUCCUUCUAUUCUGCUGAAUUAAUGUAUAGGAUUUUCUAUAUCAUUUCAUCACCUACAUGAUAUUUCAGAUAUGCUAAUCUGCCUCAGUAUAGUAACCAUUUUUCUAUAUACAAUGUUGCAUAAUAUCAUCUUGGAAGCCUCAAUUAUAUACAGGAAAAUUGUUUAAAAAUAAAGGUUAAAAAAAUUUUUUUUGCAAGAUGGACACCAUAUCUUCAUUUUAUUUCUAUGUGGUGUUGAGGAUUGAACCCAGCGCCCCGCGCAUUGCCAGGUGAGCGUGCUACUGCUUGAGCCACAUCCAGCCCAAAGGUAAAAAUUUAAACUUAAAAAAUUUCAAACUGUGAGAAACAGUAAGUUCAAGUGGUCCAUUUUCUUCUUCUUCUUCUUCUUUUUUUUUUUUUUUUUUAACUCGAGGGGCACUCGACCACUGGGCCACAUCUCCAGCCCUUUCUUGUAUUUUAUUUAGAGACAGGGUCUCAUUGAGUUGUUUAGUACCUCGCCAUUGCUGAGGCCGGCUUUGAGUUCUUGAUCCUCCUGUCUCAGCCUCCUGAGUUGCUAGGAUUACAGGCGUGCGCCACCACACCCAGCCAGUGGUCCAUUUUCAAAAUGCAGUAAUCUCAGUGACUCGGGAGGCUGAGACAGGAGGAUCACGAGUUCAAAGCCAGCCUCAGCAACAAGGAGGUGCUAAAUAACUCUGUGAGACCCUGUCUCUAAUAAAAUGCAAAAAUUGGGCUAGGGAUGUAGCCCAGUGGUCCAGUGCCCCUGAGUUCAAUCCCUGGUACCUGCCCCCUCCAAAAUAAAACUUUAUAUAUGGAAAACAAUUUUUUUUUUUUUUUUUAGUUGUGGUGCUGAGAACCCAGGGCUCACACAUGCCAGGCAAGUGCUUUACCACUGAGCCACAACCCCAGCCCACUAUUUAACUUCAAAUGUAAAAUUGCUGGGGAAGUAAAAAACAGUAAAGGGAAAAUAAAACAAAUGGUUACCAGCAGUUAACAUCUUAGUGUGAAAGACUCACAGCCCCUUGACAAACAGGAGGUAAGAAAGAAGGGGACACCCAAGACCUUCCCUGCAGUCCCCAGUCCAUAAGCCUUUUAUAUAUAUAUAUAUAUAUAUAUUUUAGUUGUAAAUGGACACAAUACCUUUAUUUUAUUUUUAUUUACUUUUAUAUGGUGCUGAGGAUCGAACCCAGGGCCUCACACAUUCCAGUAAAGCGCUCCCCCCCUUUUUUUUGGGGGGGGGGGCAUGUACCAGGGACACUUACAGCCACUGAGCCACAUUCCUAGCCCUAUCUAUUUAUGUACUUACUUACUUAUGAGACAGAGUCUCACUAAGUCGCUCAGGGCCUACUGAGUUUCUGAGGCCGACUUGGAACAUCCUGCUGCCUCAGCUUCCUGAGUUCCCAGGAUUACGUGCAUAUGCCACCACGCCCAGCCCCCCAGUCCUUUGUAAAGUUCCUUUUUGUUUGGUUUGGGGGUUUCUUUGUGAGGCAUUUUAGAGUCUAAGUAAAAGGUGGACUGGGGAUGUAGCUCUUCCCCAGCAUAUCUGAGGGAUGUCUAUUACCACACAGCAGAGUCUAGGUGGGCUGCAGGCUCAUUGGUGCACUACCUCAGUGACAUCAUGGGAACAGAUUUCCUGCCUCAUCCUAAAGCCCUUGUCCAGUUAACUGUGGAGUCUGGCUUUUAGGGGUAGAUGGCCUGCCAAAGUUGAUCACAAUGAGGUUACGGUGGUUGCUUUGUGCUCUGUGUUCUGAAAGUGUGUGGGCUGGGUGUGGUGGUACACUCCUAUAAUCCCGAGGCUGAGGGAGGAGGAUCACAAGUACAAGGCCAGCCACAGCAAGUUAGUGAGGUCCUGUCUCAAAAAUUAAAAAGCACCCCUGGGUUCAAUCUCCAGUACCCCCCCCCACAAAAAUCAGUGUGUUUGACCCCUUGCAGAUCCCCCAAAUGCUUAUGAGGGUAAGUGUUAUAGUUUGGAUCUCAAGUGUCCCCAAAAGCUCCUGUGUUGGAGACUGGUCCCAGAUGCAGUAAGCAGAGGUGGGGCCUUGGGGAGUGAUGGGAUCACAAGGACUCUGACCUCAGGACGCAUAGCUUUAUGGGCUGUGGGGGAGUAGUGGAAAUGUUAGGAGGUAGAGCCCAGUUGGAGGAAAAAGGCCAUUGCAGCAGGCCCCGGGAGGACAUAUCUUGCCCCCAGCAGCCACGUGCUACCACAAGCUGCCCAUCAUGAUGGCCUGUCUCACCCCAGGCCCAAAGUGAUGGGACCACUCAGCCAUGGACUGAACCUCUGAAACCAUGAACCAAAACAAAUGUUUCCUCCUUUUAUUUUUCUCACAUAUUUUGUCACAGUGACAGAAAGCUGACUCAUAAUACAGUCCACAAGUUCAAAGUCUUUCCAUGAUGAUACUAAGAGGUGUCCUCCCUUCUGCCCUUUCCUAAGUGUCUGUGGGCCUCUCCAGCAGCGGUACUGUGAUGAGACCCCACUGGGACCCCUGAGGAAUGUGUGCUGUGUUAACAUACCUGCUUCGUUGUCACUGGGAUAAAUGUCCAUAGGUACAACCCACAAGACAAACCAGGGGUAUUUAAGAACCUGAAGAGGUUCUGAAACCAAUAAGCUGUGAGCUGCUGGCUUGGCCUUGCUAUGUGCUGGGGAAUGGCCCCCGAGACACCACACAGCUCUACACUUUGUCUCAUGCAGCAACACAGAAUUGACAAAGGAAACUAAGCUCCAAUCCAGGGUCAAUACCCAACAAAUACGGGACUGGGGCUACGGCUCAGUGGUGCUCACCUAGUAUGUGUGAGGCACUGGGUUUGUUUGAUCUUCAGCACCACAUAAAAAUAAAUAAAGGUGUUGUGUCCAUCUAAAACUGAAAAAAAAAAAAUUAAAGACCCAACAUUAAUUGUGCAUAAUCUGUGUUUAAUACUUUUUUAUUAUUUUGUACUGGGGAUUGAAUCUAGGGGUGCUCUACCACUGAGCUACAUUCCUGGCCCUUUUUUUUUUUUUUUUUUUUAUUCUGAGGAUUUCUCUAAAUUGCUCAGGCCUGCCUCUAGCUUGCUAUCCUCCUUCCUCAGCUUCCCCAAGUCCCUGGGAUUAAAGGCAACACCCAGCUCCGAGUUUUACUUUGUAACUUUUAAAGGUAUUUGGGAAAUAAAAGGAUAGAUUUCACCACUGGGCCUUGCCUGCAUCUUAGCUUUACACAACUGUACAGUCAAUUCCAAGCAGUUUCCACUCAGGAAAAGCCCUAGCCUCAGGGGACAGCUGUGUUCCCUUUGCCCAGAUGGCCCUAGACAAGUGCUUCAGCAUGUGGACAUCCUCUGUGGGACUUGUUACAUUUUGUCUGUUCUGUUUAUGAACUGUAACCUCAUAUAGGAUUGCCUUAGAAUCCAAGUAACAAAUCCUCAUGCUAAAUAGAACAACAAGGGUGUUGGGGAUGCAGCUCAGUGAUAGACUCAUUCCCCACCCAGCUCUGCACAGAACAAAAACAGCAAGAACAAACUGCAUGCUUUGUGUGAGGCACACCUAAAGCCACCUACAAAUCUCAUCUUGACCUGACCAGCUCUGCCGCUCCUUCCAGCUGGAGCUGGCCCUGAAUUCCAGAAACCAGGACACAGGCUCCUGGCAGGCAGGGAGAUCCUAGCCAAGGGCCAACCUGCCAGGGGUUGGCUCGUCCAUAGAACAAGGGGGUCUGGAGUAGACCAUGGUCCAAAUUCCUUCCGAAGUGACCACCUUAAGCAGGAAGCAGUGCCCAAGUCCACUAUGCCUCUUUCCUCUUCAAUACCUAGCCUGCUGGUCGCCACCCUGUCCACUGUCUCAGCCCAGCCUGCUUGCUCACCCUCACUGUACAUGGCAGCUGACCCAUUGGGCAUACUCAGCUGACCUUGUUGCUUCCUGGGGUUGCAGAUAAGAAAAAUCAGCCGAGCAACAAAAUAAACAGACUCUGGCCUUCCCAACCUCAGGAGAGCCAUCUCCUCUUCUCUGCCCCACCUGGUUCAGGCAGAAGCUCCUCAUGCACCCCAUAACAGGCCAUGCUGGUCUCCCUGGUCCACCAAAAAGAUGUAUCUAAAACAGAACUUGUGGCUGGGUGUGUGCUGCUGGGAUAUUUGAAGCAGCUCAGGAGGCUGAGACAGGAAGAUCACGAGUUCAAAGCCAGCCUCAGCAAUGGUGAGGUGCUGAACAACUCAGUGAGACCCCGUCUCUAAAUAAAAUACAAAAUAGGGCUGGGAAGUUGUUCAGUGGUUGAGUGCCUCUGAGUUCAAUCCCCGGUACCAAAACAAAAAAAAUAAUAAUAAAACAAAACAGACCUUGUAAUCCCAGCUACUCAGGAGGCUGAGGCAGAAGGAUUCCAAGUUUGAGGCCAGCCUCAGCAACUUAUGGAUACCCUAUCUCAAAAAAUAAAUAAAAUUUACAAAAAAACUGGGCUGGCGACAUAGCUCAGUGGUUAAGUGCCCGAGGGUUCAAUCCUUGGUGCCAAAACAUACACACACACACACACACACACACACGGCAUUUGAGGGGGGCCAGCAGUCUUUAGGGAUAUGGUGUUGGAAAUUUCCAAUGAACAGGGGACAAGUGUGGGAAUGGCAGCGAUGCGACUCCCUGGUCUCAAGCUCCUUUCUGGAGGGUAGUAGCUGUCCAAAAUUCAGUGGCUUCUUGAUUUGUUGAAAACCAAUAAUGGUCACAGACCAUGAGGGUCCGGGAAAAGUCAGCCAGUGACAAUCUGUGACCUUGAUCAAAGGCCUAAAUCUACAGUCCCCCUACUGUUCAGGAAAAGGACAAACUCUGUUCCCAGGUAUGAGAAGCUGACUGCUGACCCUGAGCUAGAUAGUGAAGGCAUGGUCAGUCUGGCCUCAGGCUGCACCCCAGACAGAAGCCACAGAGGGUCCCCUUCAACUAAAUACAGCCCUUUCUUGCUUCAAAUAUCUUUAUCAUGUAAUGUUUUGAACAACUAAUAGUAAUAAAAAUUAAAAAUAUAUAUAUAUAUAUAUCUUUAUCACUCCCCUCUCAGGUGCUUCUGGGACCAGAACAGUAGCAAGCCAAAUACUUUGAAAACACAGCUGUCCAUCAGACACCCUGAGCAGAUCCCUUUUUGCCAGUAGAUGACCUCCUGGGGUGUUGGAGAACCCCUAGGCAUCUGGCCAGUGGUGAAUAGACUUGCACAGGCAGAUUCCAGUGUGGACAAACCACCAGUGAAAACUGUCGUGACCAGGAAGGCCUGGUCCGGCCAGGAAGCGAGGAAGUAUGCCCUCCAGCAACAGCUCUGGCUUUGCCCUGCUCUGGGGCUCAAUUUCCUCAGCCCACUGGUCACAUCAGUCCUGCACCUGCACUGCAGCACCUGAAGACAGGUGCUCUCCACACACAGCCCUGAGGAAGAACUUCAUGGUGUCCGCUUUUCUGUUCCUGAGCCAAUCAACGGGGCAAGAGCAGCAUGGCUAGAAAGGGUCAGGCCUGGGAUGCAGUCACAGGAUUGGCAGGUGUGAGGAACAGAGGGCUCCUGCUGGGGGGCACUCCUAUCACAAUCCUGUCAGCAGCCUCCAAGAUGGCCCUCAGUGACUCCAUCCCUGCUGUCCACACCCUGAGGUAGUACCUCCCACACGGGGCCAGAGCAGGUCUCAGUGACCAUGGCACUGUGUGCAUGGUGGCAGUAAUGGCCAACCACUCCUGAGAUUAAAUCUCAAAGGGCUGUGUCUUGCAUCUGGGGCUCUGACUGCUAGUAAUUGGCUUUGGGCAGCCUGCUGCUAUGUCAUGAGUAGCCCUGAGAAAGCCACAUGGCAGGGAACAGAGCCUCGCGUGAUAACAGCUAGGCCUCUCACCCUGACCAGCUCCCAACUUCAGAGACCCAGCAAGGUGAGUCUCCAAGUUGUGGGUUUGAGGAGUUCCCCAUGGAGAGCACACAGCCCUCGCCUUUGGAAGUCCCUCCUAAGGGCCUGUCAGAAACCCACACCAAGUCUAAAGGAAUGUCGAGAACUAGAUACCUAUUAGCACAAAUUCUACUUUUUAAAAAUAUUUUUAGUUGUAGAUGGACACAAUACCUUUAUUUUAUUUAUUUAUUUUUUAAUAUGGUGCUAGGAUCGAACCCAGUGCUUGCUAGGCAAGCCCUAACCCCAGCCCUUUCUUUUCUUCUUUUUAUAUCAGGGAUUGAAUCCAGGGGCUCUUAAUCACCAGCCCUUUUUAUUUUAUUUAUUUGUUCAUUUUUGUACCGGAGAUUGAACUCGGGGGCACUGGAUCACUAAGCCACCUCCCCAGCCCUUUCUUAUAUUUUAUUUAGAGACAGGGUCUCACUGAGUUGCUUAGUGCCUUGCUUUUUGCUGAGGCUGGCUUUGAACUUAUGAUCCUCCUGCCUCAGCCUUCCAGGCCACUGGGAUUACGGUGUGCACCACCGUGCCCAAUCCUUUUUAAAUAUUGUUUUUUGUUUUGUUUUGAGAUAGGGUUUCACCUUACUAAUUGCUGAGGCCUCAAACUUGCAGUACUCCUUCCUCAGCCUCCUGAUUCCCUGAGAUUACAGGUAUAGCCACUGUAUCUGGCUUCUGCCCAAUUUUUUACAAAGGUUUUUUGUUUGUUUUUGUUUUUCUGAAUAAAAAUAGACUUUUUAUCUUUUCAAGAACAAAAUCUUUUUUUAAUAUUCAUUUUUUAGUUGUAGUUGGACACAAUACCUUUAUUUUAUUUACUUAUUAUUAUGUGGUGCUGAAGAUCGAACCCAGGACUGUGGAGCUGGGGUUGUAACUCAGUGGUUGAGUGCUUGUCUCGCAUGCAUGAGGCACUGGGUUCGAUCCACAGCACCACAUAAAAUAAGUAAAAUAAAGAUAAAAAAAAGAACAAAAUCUGUGUACAAAGUCUUGUUGUACAUAUGAUGAGUAAGACUCAGAUAGGUGAUAGCUAGGAGGGUCAGGGAUGUGGCUCAGGGGCACAGCACUUGUCUAACAUGCCAGAGGUCCUGGAAAAGACCCCCAGCACCCCUGCCCCCAAAAAGGGAUGUGAGAAGAUGUUUCCUAAGAAUCAUCUUUCACUCAGAAACAAGAUUUACUGAGGGGUGGGGUUGUGGCUCAGAGUAGAGCGCUUGCCUAGCAUGUGUGAGGCACUAGGUUUGACCCUUAGCACUACAUAGCCUGCUGCUAUUUAGUGUCCACCUAUAACUAAAAAAUAAAUCUUAAAAAAAAAAAAAGAUUUACUGAGAUCCACAGACAUGAACUUGUUUAUUGAAGCAUUCCUCAAGUAGUAUUUUACAGACAGCAUCCCAAUACCAGACUAGCGUUUGGCCACAGACCUCAACCCAGCUUCAACAAGCUGAGCACCCCAGUGUCAUGACCACAGGCGCCAUGAUCACAGCAUACAAGAUUUUCAGAGGCCAGUUGGGGGAGAGAGCACCAGGCUAAAAAAACAGUUCACAAAUUUAGUUGAGGCCACAUUAGGGAAGAAGCAAACAGUUAUUUGCUCAAAUAUUAAUAAGGAAGCCUAUGGGGCUGGAGAUAUAGCUCAGUUAGUAGAGUGCUUGCCUUGCAUGCACAAGGCCCUGGGUUCAUUCCCCAGCACCACCAAAAAGAAAUAAAGAAAACAAAAAGCUUUUAGUUUAAAAAAAAUGAUAAUAAGGAAGCCUAGAUAUUUUAUUUUUUAUUUUAGUUAUAGUUGGACACAUACCUUUAUUUUUAUUUAUUUAUUUAUUUAUUUAUUUUUUAAAUAUUUUUUCGUUGUAGUAGACACAAUACCUUCAUUUAUUUAUUGAUAUGUGGUACUGAGGAUCGAACCCAGGGCCUCAAAUGUGCCAGGCGAGUGCUCUACCGGUGAGCCACAACCCCAGCCCCAUUUUUAUUUAUUUUUAUGUGGUGCUGAGGACCGAACCCAGUUCAAUGCUAGGCAAGCACUCUACUGCUGAGCCACUACCCCAGCCCCAAGAAAGGAAGCCUAGAUCUUAAAAAGGACCCAAAAGAUCAACUUUUUUUUUCAGAAUUUUUUUUUUGGGGGGGGGUACUGGACAUUGAGCCCAGGGGCAAUCUACCACUGAGCACAUCCCCAACGCUUUUUUUUUUUUUUUAGUUGUUGAUAGACCUUUAUUUUAUUUAUUUAUACGUGGUGCUGAGAAUCAAACCCAGUGUCUUACACAUGCCAGGCCAAUGUGCUACCACUGAGCCACAGCCUCAGCCCUCCAACGCUUUUUAUUUUUUGAGACAGAAUCUUCCUAGGUUGCUGAAACUGGCCUUCAGCUUGUGAUUCUCCUGCCUCAGCCUCUGAGCUGCUGGGCUUAUAGUUGUGCACCACUGCACCUGACUUUUUUCAAAAAUGUUAAAAUAUUAUUCCUGUUUUGUAGAUAAGACAAUGAGGAUCCAGGAGCAGCUUGUCUGAAGCCCUUUGGCUAUUGACGGAAUCAGGCCCAGGCCCAGGCCUCCUCCAUGUCAACAUGGAGCAAGGACAGAGCUGAGUAGGGACCAUCACUCUGCUCACAGCUCCUUCCAACAGUCUCAACAUACCCUGUGAUGCCUUCCCCUUAAUGGACUGAACGUCUGGUGCUACCUGGCACCUGGUGCCAGGAUAGCCAUCCACAGAGCUAAGAAGGCCCUGACUCAGACCAUUCCCCAGGAGACUGCCUCUCACAGAUAUGCAAGGACAAGACGUGCAAGGAGCCAGGCUGACACUUCCUUGACUGCCACGGUCAGCAAGCCAAACUGUUAACAAGGAAGCGAGAAUGAGUGAACGCGGUGCAAGUGUCUGAGAGAAAAUAAAACUCUACCCAGUAGGGCAGCGGGCUGUGGAGUGAGCCUCAGGUUGAAGGACGGUCCAGGCAGCUGGCCUGCUGGAUACUCAGACGUAGUCCUGACUGCCCAAGGCCUGUGACGUGGUGGGACAGCAGAAAUCACCAUUCACCUCUUGCCUGCAGGACCUGGGGCACAGCCUCUGGACCAAGAGUUGACAGUCUCUUUCCCAGGCUCUCAUUUCUCAUGACAUCUUCAUAAUAAUUCCUGGAUACAAACAGCUUCUGGCUCAUGAAUGGCUUUCACAUACAUUUACUGCAUUUUAUCUUUGCAGCAACUCCGUGGGAAGCCCAAGGCUAAUAUUAGCCUGUCUUUGCAAAUAAUUAUUAUCCCCAUUUUACUGAUGAGAAAAUUGAGGCUGGGAGCAUUAACAACUUGCUCAAGGGGCUGGGAAGGACAAAACUCAGGGUCUUUCCCCAGAGGCUGUCAACACCUUGCUUCUGAGUGAACCACCAGGCAGUGGCCCAACAGCAGUGGCUUUAUUUCAAACAUUAAUAGGCCUGUUUCUUACACUCACACCACAACAUGCAAAUUCAUUAGAGGCUUUGAGUCACAAACCCUCUAAACACACAGGCAAGAAGGGCUAGGGUACCAGAAAAUCUUUGGAAGUCUGAAUACAGUCACAAGACAAGGCUGGGGAGAGUGCAGGGGGACAGACUAGGGGGAGGGAAAGUGGGUGAGGAAAAACCCUCUGACUUGGUCUGUGAACCAAGGAAAGGACACAAAGUGCGUGAGGAACAGGGAAGAUGGAUGGAUCGGGGAGAUUAUAAGAAUAAGAGAGGGGCUGGGGAUGUGGCUCAAGCGGUAGUGUGCUCGCCUGGCAAGCGUGCGGCCCGGGUUCAAUCCUCAGCACCACAUGCAAAAAAACAAAGAUGUUGUGUCCGCCGAAAACUAAAAAUAAAUAAAUAUUUAAAAAAUUCUCUCUCUCUCUUUCUCUUUUAAAAAAUAAUAAGAGAAAUGGCAGGAAGAGCCAUCAGUACUGACUCAGCAGUCCUGGGCCUAGGGACUACUCUCUCCACAAGCCCACAGAAAGAGCCACACACACAGGGAGAACUAGCUGGUGCAGAGCUUAAUGCAGGCAGGCAGGACACCUAAGACUCACCCAGGCCUUUCAGGUUCAGGUUGAGGCACAGGGCAGGUGUGUGUGGGCCCUGGUUCGCCAGGCCCAAUAGUGAGUGCAGGCCCAUGCAGUCAGACCACCUUAGAAGCUGCCACCAACUUUAACUGUGAUCUUGGGUGUGGUAUCUUUUAAUUUUUCUGAAUCACUUUCAUUAUAAAAUAGUGAUAUCAGAAGUAUUUACUGAGUUGUGAAUAUCAACACAGUGUUUGAUGUGGAGCCAGACACUAGUCAGCUCUCCAAAAUAUUGGUUGUUAUUAUAAUUGUUCAUUAUAAACCUGGGAAACAGAAAUACAGAGAUAAGUGUAAGUCACUGUAACCCUUCUCUGUAGCAGAUCCGUCUGCUCUUGGGCACUCACUCUGGACCUGGGUAGACCCCCAUACCCAGUGGCCCUCGCGGCUGCACUGGGAGGAUGGCAGGGACUUGCCUGGGCUAGGAAUGCAGCUGCCAUGGGAUGAGACAACAGAUCCCUCUCCCCACUGGGGAGCAGUGCCUCCGCACUUCCCAUGAGCAACAGUGGGCUUAUGCAAUGCCUGGGCCAUAAGCCUGGCAGGGUGCCAUGUGACUUCCAGAGGUGAGUCAGCUGCCUCCAGCAGGGUACAGCUGAGCUGGUCCAAGAUGGCUAUCCACAUGAAACCAAAGGUCUACAGAACAGAUACUCCACUCCUGACCAAACUAUGGAGUGGUUAAUACUCUUCUUUCUAAAAGUUGUUAAUCUGCUCUUCCUGCUACAGAUGGAAGUUUUUGUUUCUGGGCUUCCAAGAUUGAAGGAAAACAACUGUUCCCUUCCUGUGCACACUGACCCUGGGCAGCUUGAGCUCGUGUUCCUCAGCCUUCCUCUGGCCAGUGAACGACUAACCUGCCCUUGAUCAGCAACUUGUGGCUUUGGAAGGGCUCCUUCCUUCUUUUCUGAGAUAGGGGAUGCAGAUCUGGUUGGAGUUUUACUCAAACACAGGCUGGGCCACGCGUGGGUGGUGCAGACUGGGAUCUCAGCCACCCGGAGGAUUAUGAGUUCGAGGUUAACCUCAGAAAGUCAGCGAGACCCUGUGUCAAAAAAAUCAAAAAAGUGCUGGGGAUGUAAAGUAAAGCACCCCGGUCCAAUCCCCAGUACCAAAAAAAAAA